CAACCCUCAGGGCCCCCCUUUCCCGGGAGAGGCGACCUGGUGUUGGAGGUCGGCCGCCGCACCUGGCGGCCGUCUCCCAAAUGAAUUAGCGGUCCUGCUAAGGCUUCCUUUGCGCAGUAGUGAAAACAUCUCGCUCUGGGGCGUAGCGGUGUCCACGCUUUCCGGCGGCUCGCCGCCACCAUUUUUCUCAU
rnacentral:misc_RNA from 1 species